AAAUAAAUUCAUUAAACAUUAAAUUAGACUUUAUAAAUCAGAUAUAUUUAAUAAAAUUUUGAUAUUAGAAUAUUAGUUAUCUAAUAUAAGUUGCGGUAUAUGAAGUAUUAAUAUAUACUAAGAUGCAUCUAACUGUUUAUUGUUUCUCCAAUCAAUUUAUAGACAACCCCACAUAUUCUUCAAUUUAAAAUAUAUAAUUUCUCCAACUUUAACUUUUUAGUUAAAAAGAUUAUUUAUAGAAUAGCUAUCAAAAUUAUUAAGUUUGAUUAAAUUUCUAAAUAAAAUUAUUAUAAUAAUUUAACUCUAUAAAAAUUGAAAGCUAAGAAAAUAUUAAUUAUAAAAGGUUAUUCUUAUAAUGUAUAUAAGACUAAAUAUAUUUUUUUGAAAUUUCUUUGGUUAUAAAAUUUUUAAAAUUUUAACUUUAAAUAAAUAUAUUUUUAAUUGAGUAAAAUAAUAUCUAUCCGCCGCAAAGUGCGGACCCUACACUAGUUCACAUUAUUGCCUUUCUCUCUAUCUUUCGUCAAUUUCACAGAAUUUCAUCAAAAGAGAACGUAGAUAUG
rnacentral:lncRNA from 1 species